AUUUAAUCUUUUUUCUGUACAUAUGAUAAAUUUUUAUCGCUGAAAGGAUGAAACAAUUGUUAUUAUUUUUUUUGGUCUUUACAAUGACUUGUGGAUUUAUUGCCAUUCCAAGAAAUGCAAAAAUUACAAAGAAUAAUGAGUCACCAACGUUUAAUCAAAAUGUACGUAACACAACCGUUGCAGGCGCUGGUACUAACGCUGUAAUUGACCCUCCGCCAAACCCGUGCCCUGCAUGUCAGGCUAGAGACAUGAAUGGAAUGUGUCGCGAAAUCGUAAAUGGAUGUGUUAAGCUAUAUAAAGUUUAGCAUCAUAAUCUCUUAAAAAAUAAACAUGUCAUGAACAAUGUUA